UCCCUUGUAGCUUAGUCGGUAAAGAAUCUGCCUGCAGUUCAGGAAACCCAGGUUCAAUCCCUGGGUUGGGAA
rnacentral:tRNA from 1 species